ACGCUGGCGGCAGGCCUAACACAUGCAAGUCGAGCGGUAGAGAGAAGCUUGCUUCUCUUGAGAGCGGCGGACGGGUGAGUAAUGCCUAGGAAUCUGCCUGGUAGUGGGGGAUAACGUUCGGAAACGGACGCUAAUACCGCAUACGUCCUACAGGAGAAAGCAGGGGACCUUCGGGCCUUGCGCUAUCAGAUGAGCCUAGGUCGGAUUAGCUAGUUGGUGGGGUAAUGGCUCACCAAGGCGACGAUCCGUAACUGGUCUGAGAGGAUGAUCAGUCACACUGGAACUGAGACACGGUCCAGACUCCUACGGGAGGCAGCAGUGGGGAAUAUUGGACAAUGGGCGAAAGCCUGAUCCAGCCAUGCCGCGUGUGUGAAGAAGGUCUUCGGAUUGUAAAGCACUUUAAGUUGGGAGGAAGGGUUGUAGAUUAAUACUCUGCAAUUUUGACGUUACCGACAGAAUAAGCACCGGCUAACUCUGUGCCAGCAGCCGCGGUAAUACAGAGGGUGCAAGCGUUAAUCGGAAUUACUGGGCGUAAAGCGCGCGUAGGUGGUUAGUUAAGUGGAUGUGAAAUCCCCGGGCUCAACCUGGGAACUGCAUUCAAAACUGACUGACUAGAGUAUGGUAGAGGGUGGUGGAAUUUCCUGUGUAGCGGUGAAAUGCGUAGAUAUAGGAAGGAACACCAGUGGCGGAGGCGACCACCUGGACUGAUACUGACACUGAGGUGCGAAAGCGUGGGGAGCAAAC
rnacentral:rRNA from 1 species